ensembl:lncRNA
CUUUGCUUCUUACUGUACAGACUGCUGCCACGCUGGCUGUCUAGGUCGCUCUGUAAGUAAGGCUUUUCCCUGUUAAAUACCCUUAUAUUUCUACCUGACUCCGUAUUGGUAAUUUUCCACUAUAUAUUAUAUUUUGGGUAGCUUGUGUUCUUCUGCUUGUGGCUGGAUAUAAAGGUAUCAUGGAAGUGAAUUAAAGAAAGAGUAUAAUGCCCCAGUGAGAAAAUAGCCUUCUUCCAAACUUGGGGGACAAGAGGAAGCAGGUUUUCAAGCUGUCCCUUUCACAAAGAGUUGUGGCUGAAUACAGAUGUGGCUGCUGUGAGCCUUUAUAUGGGUGGACAGCUGAACAAAAACCAGAGAUAUUCCAAAAAGGAGGGAUGCAGAAGGUAUGGUAAAGGCAAGAAUUAGACUAAUGAAUGCAGAUCAACAAGUGGCAGGCAAGGUUACUGUGAUCAUUCCUAAGAGCAAACUUUGAAGUUUCCAAAAUGAUGUUGGGGCCCAACAAUGAAGAAUCCACCUGGAUUGUGGGUUACAAGCCAUCGUGAAAAUUUGAAGUUUACCUAGCAAGCUGUAUUCCUACUGAGACUGAGUGACUACUGGCCAGCAAACAGUAAAAACACAAGAGAUUCUGCGAAAUGAGAAGAUGUUAUUUUUAAAGCAAAGAAGAUUGCAUAAUUCAGGAUACUAACUUUUUCUAGUCUUAUUGCUCUUGUUCAAUCACAUAACACUUCCUGUUCACACCAAAUUAUUUGAAGAGAAGGCAAGUUCCUUAUGUAUACAUGCAAUCAAAGCAAUAUAAGGAAAAUACUCAAUGAUAUGUGAAGGAAUGGAACUGAAACCUUUUGAAAGUAUAAAACUGAACCUGGCCUAGCAGGAAUGAAUUGUAUGCAAUUGCGAGACAGGCUGUUAGAAAAAGUCAUUACACUCAAAACAGGAAGGAAGGUCUGGAGAAUAAUUCUAGUCUUUAUAGAACACAAGUCAAUUUCAAAGGAAGUCAUUUACAAUGCCUGCUAAGAAUAAGCAUAUGCUUGCUCUGUGACAGAGAAAUUUUGGUCUUUGUACAUUCAAUGCAAAUGAGCAGACAUUUUCAUUUAAAAAGUGCAUUGUAAUGUUCACCAUAAAACUUCACAGAAGCUAAAUGUUGGAAAUUGCUGAACUUCCCAUCAACUGUAGACUGGAUAAACUGGCAUGAAUAUACACAAUAUAUAUGCUCUAUAUAAACAUACAUGCAGUUCAAUCUGUAUAUGUUUAUAUAUGUAUUUACAGUUGUGUAUACAUGUAACCACCUCCAGCUGAAUGUUACAUAAAUAUUACAAUUAUACUAUUAGAUAUAACAUAGUUAUUGAUAUUAUACAGCUAUGCAAACAUAUACAUGAGUCUUGGAAAUAUGCUAAGGAUAAAUGAUAUACUCUCUGACUUUGAUAACAAAAUGCAUGAAUGUUCAUGUAUCUAGACUACACUACUGAGAGUCAGAUAAUUCUUAUUCUGAGGAUGGGGAAAAUGUUGGGCAGGAGCCUGAAGAAACCUACCAAGGUUUUGUCUCUUAAUGUGAAUAUUAGAGCAAUGUUUUCAGUUUGUGAAGAUUUAUCACUCUAAUUAUGUAAGCUUCUAUAGGAAUCUCACACCAAUUCCACUUAUCUGCUAGUCUCUCCAUAACCAUGCCUCCGUCUUGUAGUGUGCCCCCAAAAGAAAGUUAAAAAGAAUAAAAGUAAGAUAAAAAUAUGCAAUAAUAAAAAUAGUAAAAGGAAAACACUUUACUCCUCAGUCUUUCCCACCUCUCCAUAGCUUCUUCAUUCAUCUUAGAGACUGCCAUUAGGAGCUGCAGUGUAUCAUGUAGUAUACUCUUUUGUCCAAACUGCUUUACUUGCCAAUCUUCAUUAUGUAAUGAGUUGUUAUUCAGGGUCAAGGCUCAUGGAUUUGUUGCACCAUCAAUACUGGACCCUCACCAACACACCUCUCUUAUAUGCUCUGUUGCCUGAGUCAUGAAGAUCCUGCAGUUAUGAUUCUGUAGCAUCAGUUCGUUCCCACACUGCAAGCUCUGGAUGUGUGCAUGGGUGGCAGCUGAGUUGGUUAGCCCAGGCUGCUAGGGCCACUACUCUUAGGUGAGGGGAGUAGCCAGAUCUCACAGUCGAGGUGAGGGAUGGACAAGCUUUCCCAAGUAUGGGGGCCAGUUCUCCUAUGAGGGACCUGGGCCCGGUUUUCCUUGUCAUCAGGAUCCAUUAUCCCAGUGCCGGGAAAGUUCACUGUUGGUUUGCCAAUGAGGGGAGCACAGGUCACUCUGAGGCAGUAAGGGGUGGAAAUCUGGGCAGUGGUGCCUGUGAUGGCAACAGAAGGCAUAGAGCUCAACACAGACUCUGGUUGCGAUGGGCCAUGGCCCCAGAAAUGGACCCCAGCCACAGCUCCGCUGGAGUGAACAUACGGACCCUGGUGUCAGCUCAGGCCGCACCAAUCUGUGUGGUUCCAUUUGCAGGGGGAAUCCGCACUGCCUUUGGUGGUAAGCAGAGCCUCAGGCAUUGAUGCAGCCCCUGGCUGCAAUGGGGCCAUGGACCCAGACAUGGUCCUCAGCAGCAGUUUGGGUCUGGUGGACAGCAUGACCACAGGCGGCAGUGCAGGCCACUGAAGUUUGCAUGGUCCCAGCAGCGACAUGUCUCUUAGACGCCAACAUUUCCACAGGUGGGGGAACCUAGGCCAUGGGUUUCUGUAGCGUUCCUGUUAGGCACCAAAAUGGUUUCAGGUGUCAGUCCAUACCCAAAUCCCAGGCACAGGUGCAUUUUAAAAUAGAGAUGUUAAACUUCAAUUCAGCCUGGAAACUAAAGUGUAAGGAUACUAGUGAAAAGUAAGUAUCGCAUGCCUAUGUCACAUCUCAUUGAAACACAGAAGUAAAAAAACGGUGGAGUUUCUGCACUCAGUCUUUCUAUUUAACUAAUUCAUUCACAUUCUAAGAGUAAGAGAGGAGAGGACAUACAGGCUAUUAUGCUGGCCAGAGAUGGACAGAAAUCCUUGCUUGGCAGUGCUCUCUUUAGUUAAGGAUGUUGGUAGAGUCUCCAAAAAGUAAUCAGUGCCUAAAAGAUAGCACAGGUUAGAAAGCUUAGCAUAGGGCAAUCCACAGACUGAAUGGUUGAUGCACAAGGACAUAAUGCAGCUUGCCUUCACUAGAGGCUCAUGUUUGAUAAGAUGCUGGGAGAGCCCUUUGAAGGUUUCCCUAGAACAAAACAUAGAACUUAAUUAGCUUAUAUCAAGAAACUAGCAAUGACUAAGAUUUUUAAUUUUUGUUUACAUGUUUCAGAACAGGAUUGAAUAAAAAUUGUGAAAAACAGUUGAGUCAUAAAUCUUUGUGUGUGUUUGCUGGAAUUUAAACCACAAAGUAGUACUGAAUAUUUACAGGGGAAAGAUUUUAAUAAACUAUACUAGAGCAAAAUUUUGUCUGUGAAUUUCCAGUAAUCAGCUCAGUGCUUUGCAGGUAGAAGACUGUCAAAUAUUAGAAAGGAACAAAAAAAUGUAUGCCUUUGUGAUUAUGGAACUUAAAUAUUCUAAACACGAAUUUCAGUGUACAAAAUAAAGUCAAAUGCAAGUUGCCUCUUUGUUACAUUAUUGAGAAGAAUCAAGUGCUUAUUUCCAAUUCAUUGUCUGAUCCAUUGCCAUACUUUUGUGAAAUCACAGGUUUGUUUAUUAAUAUAUAAAGGUUUCUGCUCUGAUUGUCUUUGUUGUUAGAUAAUAUCUGACAGCCAUUCAUCACCUUUAAACAUGAAUUUCAAA